GGAAUUGUUCGCAAUGGGCACAAGCCUGACGACGCAACGCCGCGUGGAGGAUGAAGACUUUCGGGUCGUAAACUCCUUUCGACCGAGAUGAAUACUCGCUGACCUAAUGCGUCGGCGCACUGACAGUAUCGAGGGAAGAAGCCCCGGCUAACUCCGUUCCCGCAGCCGCGGUAAUACGGGGGGGGCAAGCGUUGUUCGGAAUUACUGGGCGUAAAGGGUUCGUAGGUGGCCUGCUAAGUCAGACGUGAAAUCCCUCAGCUCAACUGGGGAACUGCGUCUGAGACUGGCGGGCUUGAGUGCAGGAGAGGAACGCGGAAUUCCAGGUGUAGCGGUGAAAUGCGUAGAUAUCUGGAGGAACACCGGUGGCGAAGGCGGCGUUCUGGACUGCGACUGACACUGAGGAACGAAAGCCAGGGGAGCAAAC
rnacentral:rRNA from 1 species